GCUAAAAUGAUAUAUUCUUAUUGGAUGAUAGUAUAAAACUUUUUUAUACUGUCACUGUAUCAUUAUUAAACCCUUCUUAUAAAGGACAUUUGUUAUGUAUUUCAAAAUUGGUGCUAUAUUCCAAAUAACGAACAUAACUUAGCAUCUUUUAUUUUAAAAAGAAAAAGAAAAUUAGAAACGGAAUUCAUAGACAAAUAUGGUAAGUUAUAUAAAUAAAUAUAUUCAUGGUCAGAGACAUAAUAUAUUCGUCUCUACUCAGAUGAAAUACUAUUUCAUCCUCUAAACACUUUGAGAAGAAUAGUUUAAUAACGGAAAUUGUUCCGUUUCUAAACUCGUUUCUAGUAUAUUUAGUGAAGGAAAUUUUAUGUUUUAGACACAAAUUUCGCCUAUCUCUAUAUUCAAUUUUUUAGUAGGUGUCGUCGAAGUUCAGAGAAACAGACUCAUAAUUGGAGAAAAAGAGAGAGAUUUUUUGAUCCGAUGAUUAUCCACCACUAAAUUUAAUGGAAUAAUCUCAUGCGUCUCAUGCGAGGAAGCAUGGAGCAGUCCUAACCACCCCAUACAUCAAGAGUGUCAUAUAAUGAUCACAAAUUUCGCUUCACCAUCACUCAUAUAAUCACAUUUUCCAUCUCAAUGACUCGAACAUUGAAGUAAUAAUCCUACAAUUCUGCACUUUCUAUCGUACCAAGAAGUGUUUGCUACUGCUCUAAUCAACUUCACAUCUUUAUAUCCAUCAUGAUUCCUAUUAAGAAUAAUUAUUAUUAAAUUAAAAAUAUUAAAAUUAAAUAAAAAAUAAAUGUAAUUUUUACAAGGUAGCUUUGUAUCAAAUAUUAUAUUCAUUUAAUUUUUUAUUAUGUAUACAGAAAGUAUAUAAUAGAAUAAAUAUUAUAUGGUCA
rnacentral:lncRNA from 1 species